GAGUAGGGGGGGGUGCCGGUAACGGGGGUAUUACCGAGGGCGGGCCGGUGAUGAUCCACAUUUACCUUUCUGACACCUCGUCUGAGGGCGGCGGGCGGCCGCAGCCCCUGCUGAGCAGCCACGGCUGAGGUCCGCUGUACCCGUGGCCCUGCUGGGCCGGCGGUCGGACUCCUCCCCCUCACGCGCUGCCUUCUCCCCUCAGGGCUCGGCGGGAAUCGGCCGCGACGUGGGACCCGGCGGUGGUGGCGUCCCGGAGCCUCCGUGCCCGUUUCGAGGCACUCCCCGGCGUGCUGGGCCGGUAAAGCGCGGUGUCGGCUGUUCUGGUGUUUGUGUUUCCAUGGGUGACAUGUAACACCACAGACUGACUGGAAAUUUUGUAUGGGUACCCAGUGAAACUGGAGUGCAUCGAAAGGUGCUGCGCUUUGCUCAGCCCCGCUCCCUUCACUGGAAUCUGGGACUCAAUUAGGUUGGAAAAGGCCUUUAAGACCCAAGUCCAGCAGUUGUGUCACAUCCACAUGGCUGUUCCAUCUCUUCGGAGAUGAGGACUCCAGCACUGCCCUGGGCAGCUGUGCCAGGGCUGGACAACCCUUUUUGGGGAGAAAUUCUCCUAAUAUCCCCUUUUAACUGGGUCAUACCCUGGUUCUGCCAUGUGGAUCCAGAUGGGUUCAAGGCUUAACUGAACUAUUUGACAGUGCUGUGUGUUUAGACAGUCGAAACACCACUGUAGCCAUGGAGAUUAUUAAAAAAUUUUAUUAACAGGAAUGAACCAAAAGCUGUAAACAAGAGCCAGCAGAAAUGGGAUGUUGCAGGUGAGGCCGAGUCCUCGCGCAUGGCUGGGUGCACUGACCAAUUAACUCGAAUAAUUAACGCUGCACUGAGCAAUUCCGCAUGGUGGCAGCAAAGGCCCAUGGAAAAAUCCCAAAUGGCCGUGAGGAGGAGCUUUGGGGCUGGGCCAGUGUGCAGGCACUGGGAAACCAGUCCCACACUGGGAACUGCUGACUGGGAGAGAGGGGCUGAGCCUGCUCAAAGUUCAGGUCUAAACCACAAACAUGGCUGUGAGGUGUCUGCUGUAGCAGAGUCUGUUCCCCACAGACAGGUUGGAAGUACUCCAAAGGGAAACAUUUCUAUCUUCCUCAUUUAGAGGAGUUUUUAUUGGGUUUGGACCCACAC